rnacentral:rRNA from 1 species
UGGGCAAUCUGCCCUUCACUCUGGGACAAGCCCUGGAAACGGGGUCUAAUACCGGAUAACACCGGCUUCCGCAUGGGAGCUGGUUAAAAGCUCCGGCGGUGAAGGAUGAGCCCGCGGCCUAUCAGCUUGUUGGUGGGGUAAUGGCCUACCAAGGCGACGACGGGUAGCCGGCCUGAGAGGGCGACCGGCCACACUGGGACUGAGACACGGCCCAGACUCCUACGGGAGGCAGCAGUGGGGAAUAUUGCACAAUGGGCGAAAGCCUGAUGCAGCGACGCCGCGUGAGGGAUGACGGCCUUCGGGUUGUAAACCUCUUUCAGCAGGGAAGAAGCGAAAGUGACGGUACCUGCAGAAGAAGCGCCGGCUAACUACGUGCCAGCAGCCGCGGUAAUACGUAGGGCGCAAGCGUUGUCCGGAAUUAUUGGGCGUAAAGAGCUCGUAGGCGGCUUGUCACGUCGGGUGUGAAAGCCCGGGGCUUAACCCCGGGUCUGCAUCCGAUACGGGCAGGCUAGAGUGUGGUAGGGGAGAUCGGAAUUCCUGGUGUAGCGGUG